GAUGAAGAACGUAGCAAAAUGCGAUAAGUAAUGUGAAUUGCAGAAUUCAGUGAAUCAUCGAAUCUUUGAACGCACAUUGCGCCCGCCAGUAUUCUGGCGGGCAUGCCUGUUCGAGCGUCAUUUCAACCCUCAAGCACAGCUUGGUGUUGGGACUCGCGUUAAUUCGCGUUCCUCAAAUUGAUUGGCGGUCACGUCGAGCUUCCAUAGCGUAGUAGUAAAACCCUCGUUACUGGUAAUCGUCGCGGCCACGCCGUUAAACCCCAACUUCUGAAUGUUGACCUCGGAUCAGGUAGGAAUACCCGCUGAACUUAAGCAUAUCAAUAAGCGGAGA
rnacentral:misc_RNA from 1 species